AAACUAACAAGGAUUCCCCUAGUAACUGCGAGUGAAGCGGGAUGAGCUCAAAUUUAAAAUCUGGCGGCUUCUAGUCGUCCGAGUUGUAAGCUGGAGAAGCGUUUUCCGCGUCGGACCGUGUACAAGUCUCUUGGAACAGAGCGUCAUAGAGGGUGAGAAUCCCGUCCAUGACACGGACCGCCGAUGCUUUGUGAUWCGCUCUCGAAGAGUCGAGUUGUUUGGGAAUGCAGCUCAAAAUGGGUGGUAAAUUCCAUCUAAAGCUAAAUAUUGGCGAGAGACCGAUAGCGAACAAGUACCGUGAGGGAAAGAUGAAAAGCACUUUGGAAAGAGAGUUAAACAGUACGUGAAAUUGUUGAAAGGGAAACGCUUGAAGUCAGUCGCGUCGUCCGGGACUCAGCCUCGCUUCUGCAAGGUGUACUUUCCGGUUGACGGGCCAACAUCGAUUUCGAUCGGCGGACAAGGGCGCGGGGAAGGUGGCACCCUCUCGGGGGUGUGUUAUAGCCUCGCGUCGCAUACGUCGGUCGGGAUCGAGGACCGCAGCAUGCCUUCACAGGCCGGGGCUUCGGCCCACGUAACAUGCUUAGGAUGUUGGCAUAAUGGCUUUAAGCGACCCGUCUUGAAACACGGACCAAGGAGUCUAACAUGCCCGCGAGUGUUAGGGUGGAAAACCCUUGCGCGUAAUGAAAGUGAAAGUUGGGACCUCUGUCGAGGAGGGCACCGACGCCCGGCCCUGAACUUCUGUGACGGUGCUGCGGUGGAGCGUGCAUGUUGGGACCCGAAAGAUGGUGAACUAUGCCUGAAUAGGGCGAAGCCAGAGGAAACUCUGGUGGAGGCUCGUAGCGAUUCUGACGUGCAAAUCGAUCGUCAAAUUUGGGUAUAGGGGCGAAAGACUAAUCGAACCAUGCYAGUAGCUGGUUCUNNN
rnacentral:rRNA from 1 species